UUCUCCUACGGGACGCAGCAGUGAGGAAUAUCGGUCAAUGGGCGGAAGCCUGAACCAGCCAAGUCGCGUGAGGGAAGAAGGCCCUGCGGGUCGCAGACCUCUUUGGACGGGGAGCAAGGCCGCCGACGUGUCGGCGGAAGGAGAGUACCCGUAGAACAAGCAUCGGCUAACUCCGUGCCAGCAGCCGCGGUAAUACGGAGGAUGCGAGCGUUAUCCGGAUUUAUUGGGUUUAAAGGGUGCGCAGGCGGCACGGCAAGCCGGCGGUCCAAUCGCGGGGCUCCACCCCGCCCAGCCGUCGG
rnacentral:rRNA from 1 species